rnacentral:rRNA from 1 species
CGAAGGUGGCAAGCGUUGUUCGGAUUCACUGGGCGUACAGGGAGCGUAGGCGGUUGGGUAAGCCCUCCGUGAAAUCUCCGGGCCUAACCCGGAAAGUGCAGAGGGGACUGCUCGGCUUGAGGACGGGAGAGGAGCGCGGAAUUCCCGGUGUAGCGGUGAAAUGCGUAGAGAUCGGGAGGAAGGCCGGUGGCGAAGGCGGCGCUCUGGAACGUUUCUGACGCUGAGGCUCGAAAGCGUGGGGAGCAAACAGGAUUAGAUACCCUGGUAGUCCACGCCUUAAACUAUGGAUACUAAGUGUCGGCGGGUUACCGCCGGUGCCGCAGCUAACGCAGUAAGUAUCCCGCCUGGGAGGUACGGCCGCAAGGUUG